CAGCAGCCACGGUAAUACGGAGGGUGCAAGCGUUAAUCGGAAUUACUGGGCGUAAAGCGCACGCAGGCGGUCUCACAAGUCAGAUGUGAAAUCCCCGGGCUUAACCUGGGAACUGCAUUUGAAACUGUCAGGCUGGAGUCUUGUAGAGGGGGGUGGAAUUCCAGGUGUAGCGGUGAAAUGCGUAGAGAUCUGGAGGAAUACCGGUGGCGAAGGCGGCCCCCUGGACAAAGACUGACGCUCAGGUGCGAAAGCGUGGGGAGCAAACAGGAUUAGAUACCCCUGUAGUCCCUGUCUCUUAUAC
rnacentral:rRNA from 1 species